UACGUAGGGUGCAAGCGUUGUCCGGAAUUAUUGGGCGUAAAGAGCUCGUAGGCGGUUUGUUGCGUCGGCCGUGAAAUCCCGAGGCUCAACCUCGGGUCUGCAGUCGAUACGAGCAAACUAGAGUGUUGCAGGGGAGACUGGAAUUCCUGGUGUAGCGGUGAAAUGCGCAGAUAUCAGGAGGAACACCGGUGGCGAAGGCGGGUCUCUGGGCAGCAACUGACGCUGAGGAGCGAAAGCGUGGGGAGCGAACAGG
rnacentral:rRNA from 1 species